rnacentral:lncRNA from 1 species
CCUCCACUUUUAUCUUGCAAUUUUUAUUAAAAAAUAAUACAAUUUUGUCUUGACUAUGAUUCAAACCCACAACCCUUCAACACGUACAAAGCAAUAUUUUCAACCACUAUGGCAAGUAUACCAAUUGUGAUUAAAAUUAUGUGCAAUAAUUGAUAAGCACCAUCGAUUUUCAUGGGAAAGAUUUCAUACAACAAUUAAAUGCCAUCAAAUUAC